AUCCAGUUGACGAGUCCUAAAUGGGACGAAACGUGAGUCCUGGAU
rfam:Schistosoma rodhaini strain Burundi genome assembly, scaffold: SROB_scaffold0009368